ACCGCCAGGCACGCGUUUGCCAUGGCGACUUGACAACAGUAAACAGUGAAGAUGGAGAAGAGCGCGGACACAAACUAUAAAGUGUACGAAGAUUAUCUGGACUCUAAAGUGACGUCGAUGGAUUUAUUUUAUCUCAAAAGCAGAGCGUUGGCUCGUAAACUGGUUGAACAUGGACACAAAGGCACAGUCGUGAACAGGGAGGAGUUUGAGGACAAAUCAGCGUCUCAGGCUGCUGAGACUGUGAAGAACAACACUCUGUUUUACCGGAGUCGACCAGUAACACUGUCAUGUGCAGGAAAAGAGCUCAGAGAUGACUUCCUGAAGGCGCUGGCAGAGCGAGAGGAGGCCAACCGCAGCGGCAGAAUGAAUUCGCUGGUCUUCAUCAGGGACCAGAAUCCUCGGGGACAGGAAGUGUCCGGUUACAUUGACCUCGCCCACAGACUCAGGUCCCAGGAUUUUGACAUUUAUUUCAGUGGAAAGAAGAAGCUGAUGCCGGGACGCUCCGAUUUAUGGUCCUAUGGGACAGCGAGGGAGGCGGGGCCAAGUGAAGUUACUACAACUGGAAAACACAGGUGUCCACGUCCAACUCCAGUCCAAACUUUGAGGUGAUUUACGACGACACGAGCGGCCUCGUCUUCAAGAACAAGAGGGAUAAAAAGACGGUGAACGUGGAUCCUGACUCAGGACCUGGUGAAGACUCCAGCAGAACCGUCCUACAGUCAGACCUCUACAUUCAUGUCGUCAUCUACGACCACUUCAUCAGAACCUUCUGAGCUUCACAUCAUGAGGAAGAUGAUGAAGAUGAUGUCAUCAGUCCUGAUGUCUGGAGGGAAACAAGGGCGGAGUCAAGUGCUUUUAUGAUUUUAAAUGUUUAAAUUUGAGAUUACUUUAGUUUAACUUACGUUUAGUGCAGGUUUAGUUUAGAUUUGGUUUAACUUUAGUUUCGGUUUGUUUUCAGAUAAUGUGUAAAAGUUGAAAGUUUCAUGUAAACAUUGUGCAGAUGAUAAAUGAAAAUCGUUAUUAAGUUAACUUUGUUCAAAGUUAGCUUAGCAUCAUAACCACUAGCUAUGCAGUGACUGGUUAACUUGUGUUAGUUAUUAUUCACUUAUCAGUCAUCAUCAUGAUUUCAGAUUCUUUAUAAAGUUUAUUCAGAUUAAAUCAACUUUAUUGUUCUCACAGAAACAAACAUGACACUGAGGAUGUGAUUUUAAAAUAUUAAAAACAAAAACAGAAGUAAAAUCAUAAAAGUCUAAAAACAAACUGUGUCAGGUGAUAAAUAAAACACACACACACACACACACACACAGAGUAAUGAUUUCACAAUAAAAGCCUGGUGUAAACGCUUCCUCUUCAUUACUUUGAUGGCAUUCUUAUUAGCUGCUGCUAAUGUACACAACAUGAGCUA